rnacentral:rRNA from 1 species
GACGAACGCUGGCGGCGUGCUUAACACAUGCAAGUCGAACGGAAAGGCCCUGCUUUUGUGGGGUGCUCGAGUGGCGAACGGGUGAGUAACACGUGAGUAACCUGCCCUUGACUUUGGGAUAACUUCAGGAAACUGGGGCUAAUACCGGAUAGGAGCUCCUGCUGCAUGGUGGGGGUUGGAAAGUUUCGGCGGUUGGGGAUGGACUCGCGGCUUAUCAGCUUGUUGGUGGGGUAGUGGCUUACCAAGGCUUUGACGGGUAGCCGGCCUGAGAGGGUGACCGGCCACAUUGGGACUGGGAUACGGCCCAGACUGCUACGGGAGGCAGCAGGGGGGAAUAUUGCACAAUGGGCGGAAGCCUGAUGCAGCAACGCCGCGUGCGGGAUGACGGCCUUCGGGUUGUAAACCGCUUUCGCCUGUGACGAAGCGUGAGUGACGGUAAUGGGUAAAGAAGCACCGGCUAACUACGUG